AUGAGUAAUAUGAGACCAGGAGACGUAGAAGGAACAUUGAUACAGGGAAGCCAAGGUGGGGCAGGGCAGCAGGGACAGGAAACAGGUGAAAAUAUGCCCCUUGUCUUCAUUCUGCCCAGCGUCUUCUUCCUGGAAUCUGUGAAGGAGGAUCCACCUUUCCGAUACAGGGAAGCCAAGGUGGGGCAGGGCAGCAGGGACAGGAAACAGGUGAAAAUAUGCCCCUUGUAUUCGCGAAGGCUUCGCGAAACGUCAGGAAGAACCACCUUCAGAACACGGCCAAGAAGCCCGAAAAACCCACAACAACCAUAUGCCCCUUGUCUUCAUUCUGCCCAGCAUCUUCUCCCUGGAAUCUGCGAAGGAGGAUCCACCUUUCAUGAAAGCUCACUAGUCUGGAGUAGAUGUGCUGUCUUGAAUAUACGUAUCCUACCAGGACCAUUAUAUACUUGUUGUCUUAGUUCUGAAUACUGUCACGUAAUAUAUUGUGAGGGGAAAGACCAAAGACAAGAGGUCUUUCUGGUGGAGCCAUCUCUCCCUAAGAUAUCCAAAGGGACUCAAGCAACCCCACCCCCUACCCCACCCCGAAAGAAAGAUCAAGGGAUAGACACCCGAGAGCUGGAGCAGAAGAACAUGAGGGAAAGGGGGGUAUCGCGAGCAGUGGAUACCCAAGACUUAGAGAAAGAGUUGAAAGGGUUGAGUGUGGCUACUCCAUCUAGGGUCGAAAUGGCGGGAAAAAAGGAGAAAGGGCGGGCUCUGGAAGAAGGGGGGUUAGGGGAGAUAAAUACAGCCCGGGACAAUACCGCGGGUGGUUGGGAAACAGUCUGGAUGCAGGAUCCAUGGACCAGGAGAUGGGAACAGGUUCGCGUGCCUAAGGCUGAAGCUGAGAACAGGAGUCAUAAAGGUUUACCCCAGAGACCAUCGUAUCGGGGUGAGUCUGAGACAAGGGAAUGGAGGAGAAAGCUUAGAGAGGAAAAGGAAGCUAUUGCCAGAGAAAACGAGGCACACCGGGCAUGGCAUCUCGAAGAGUUAAGGAAGAUGGGGUGCUUCCUGGACCUUGGGGUGACUCAUCAGGAGAAGGAACCCCAUUAUGGGGCUGGAUGGGGGAUGAAGAGACCCUCCCGCUUUUAA
rnacentral:lncRNA from 1 species